AAAACAAAUUAGCAAUAGCAGCAACGCUAACUGUGAAU
rnacentral:guide_RNA from 1 species